CCCAAACUUCCAAAACAAAAAGCACAGCAAAUCAUCCUUCAACUGUGUUCAAGAGAAAAGUGGAUUUGUUUGUGAAGGUCAACGAGGAAAAACCUGGUUCACUGUCUUUUGGUCUGGAGUUAGACUCCGCGUACUCUGUUGUAUCAAAAAGAAGUGCUCAAGGAUAAAGCUGCUUCCUGUGCUUCCUCCAGCUUCCUGGUUUUGAAUAGGAUUUUAGAAGGAUGUGAGUGUGGGGCUGUGUCAGCUAUCUUGUAUUGACGAGGAAUGGAAGCCAAUGCCGAGAACAGCCAAGGAGAAGGACAGAAGGCAUCCAGGAAUUUGAUGAUGUCAUUAUGUCGCUGAAGUUAAGUAAUUUUGGAACUUCCUACCUCUAGACUUCUUAUUUUACUGGUAUAAUAAAUAUCAUGAUGGUUUAAGUCA